CUUCGUCGUUCCAAUCAAACCAGGAUGAAUCACUUUGUGAGAAGCUUUAAUUGGAUACAUAAAGUGGUGGACAAUCACCAGGAAGUUGAAUAAAUCUCGUAGGAGUUGGCAAGAAGAAGUUAUCCCACUUUCAAAUCAGGUGAUUCCAGUUUCCCAGUUUGGGAAUAGUACAGCUUCUUCGUCGUUCCAAUCAAACCAGGAUGAAUCACUUUGUGAGAAGCUUGAUUUGGAUACAUAAGUGGUGGAGAAUGACCAGGAAGUUGAAUAAAUCUCAUAGGAGUUGGGAUGAAGAAGUUAUCCCACUUUCAAAUCAGGUGAUUCCAGUUUCCCAGUUUGGGAAUAGGACAGCAUCUUCGUCGUUCCAAUCAAACCAGGAUGAAUCAUUUGUGAGAAGCUUGAUUUGGAUACAUAAAGUGGUGGAGAAUCACCAGGAAGUUGAAUAAA
rnacentral:lncRNA from 1 species